rnacentral:rRNA from 1 species
CAGUAGCCACGGUAAUACGAAGGGUGCAAGCGUUAAUCGGAAUUACUGGGCGUAAAGCGUGCGUAGGUGGUGGUUUAAGUCCGUUGUGAAGGCCCUGGGCUCAACCUGGGAAUUGCAGUGGAUACUGGGUCACUAGAGUGUGGUAGAGGAUAGUGGAAUUUCCGGUGUAGCAGUGAAAUGCGUAGAGAUCGGAAGGAACAUCUGUGGCGAAGGCGACUAUCUGGGCCAACACUGACACUGAGGCACGAAAGCGUGGGGAGCAAACAGGAUUAGAUACCCCCGUAGUCCCUGUCUCUUAUAC